GCCUGGCUGUCAAGGAAGGAUGCUGUUGUCGGUCAGAGUCGAAUCUAAGCCUACUGUAAAUGUCUCCUUCCGGUUCUAAUAAAGGAGCAGGAUAGUUGUCAGACACAGGGUCCUACCCUGCCAUCACACUUUAAAAAUGAAACUGGGAAGACCACGGUUGGUGUCUAUCUCCUCUUUAAACCGGAUAGAUCUGCACCAGGCCACCCUACUAACCACAUCCCUUUGUAACUAGAGCAACCUCAGCACAUUUCCAUCCAGCUACUGCCUCUGCCCAAGGUCUUGUCUGGGGCCCUGAGUUGGCUGCAAAGAGGAAACAGAUGCCUGCCUGGCCCAGAAGGACCUCCAUGCAGAGGCAUCAAAAGCCUACAGCCAGGAUCCCCGUCACCUCGACACAAGACUGGACCUCUGGUCUUUGUCAUAACAGGAAGGAACUAUGAGGAAAUUCAACAAUGAGGUAGCUGGCUAUGAUGCUGCCUAGAGUUCCAUAGUGAAAUGUGCCACAUUGGCCCCAACAGAUCUACUCUCUUGGGGACAGUGAAUGAGAAACUCACCAGGGAGAGAGGAAGGGAGGAAGAGGUAUGUUUGGUCUGGGGGACAAGAUGGCUAAACCACACGGAAGAUAAUAGAUGCUCAGUUUGUUGGAGCAAAAGAAGCCAUGAGUUCUCAGAGUUUGUCAUGGGUGACGAUGUUCAAGGCGCUAGAAUUUGUUCUUACCUGAGGCGUGGGAUCGGUCCUCCUCAGUCCUCAUCAAUCUUCAUCUGGCUUUUAUUUUUCUCAUAAGUCUCAAAUUAAGAUUCCGUCACAUGUGCUCACAAAUGGAUAUCUGGUGUGAGUGGAGCUGACUGGACCUUUUGGAGUAAGAUUCUGGCAUCCACAGGGGGAAAAACACAGCACUGAGCAACUGUAGCAGAACGAGGGAAGGAAGCAUCUGCAUCCCCAGAAGGUCAAGAAAUUUCAUGCAGAUACGGGAGAGCAUGAACCUGAGGGUGAAAGCAUCGACAACUGAAUUUCAAAGGCCUCCUGGCAAGUACAUGGAAAGCGAUGCUCAGCAGAAUGACCCUAAUGCUUCCGACUUAAAUGUCUGAAGUACUACAGGAGGAGAAGCUUCUAGUUCCAGCACACACAACCGUGCCUGUGGGUCCUGCCGAUUGCAUUCUAAGGAACUUUAAUCACAGGGUCUGACUCUCAGGGACGCACCCAACCACAUAGUAUGGUAUGUUACGGAGUCGUAAAAGCUAUAUGACAUAGUUAAGGA